ensembl:lncRNA
CUACAGUAAAGCAGUAUGUUAGAGUGCUAGAGCUGAAUGUGUUUUAUUGUUUUACAGUACCCACUGAGGCACAGGCUGCUGUGAUAUCCACAAACACUUUCACUGAUGCCCAGAGUACAGGAGGGGGCGGUCAUGUCACCCUAGAACCUGACAUGUCCCUAAACGCAAAGAGAGAGAGCGAGCUACCCUUGGACUCAGUAAUGAUCUCACCUAUCAUCUCUGAGGGGAGGAAGGGAAGCAACCCUGAGGCUCUUGUAAGGAGCUUCGUGGAACCUUAUGGAAGCACGUCACGCGUCAUGUCUGCUCACCUUCCGCUUGAACCUGUCCCCGCCUCUGAAGAGCCUAUAUUUAUUUUGUCUCUCACGGAAGUCCCGCCCACUGUAGUCAGAGAGGAGGAGCAUGGGACUGAGCCACUCCCAUUUCUUGAGACAUCAGAAUUGGUCGCCGAAACACUCAGGUGAGCUCUGGGUCGCCCGUACCUGUUCUGGAACGCAUAGCAACCAAAGCUGCAUCACAGGUUGAUGUCACAGGAUGAUGCUCCUAUGUUGACUAACUCUAGUACUUAUUGUUUAUUGCACUUAUCAUUGUCUGAGAUGGAC